AUUGAACGCUGGCGGCAUGCUAUACACAUGCAAGUCGAACGGUAACAGGUUAAGCUGACGAGUGGCGAACGGGUGAGUAAUGCAUCGGAACGUGCCCGGUCGUGGGGGAUAACGCAGCGAAAGCUGCGCUAAUACCGCAUACGAUCUGAGGAUGAAAGCGGGGGACUGUAAGGCCUCGCGCGAUCGGAGUGGCCGUUGUCAGAUAGGUAGUGGGUGGGGUAAAGGCCCACCAAGCCGACGACCUGUAGCUGGUCUGAGAGGACGACCAGCCACACUGGGAGUGAGACAGGGCCAGACUCCUACGGGAGGCAGCAGUGGGGAAUUUUGGACAAUGGGCGAAAGCCUGAUCCAGUAAUGCCGCGUGCAGGAAGAAGGCCUUCGGGUUGUAAACUGCUUUUGUACGGAGCGAAAAGGUCCUUUCUAAUACAAGGGGCUCAUGACGGUACCGUAAGAAUAAGCACCGGCUAACUACGUGCCAGCAGCCGCCGUAA
rnacentral:rRNA from 1 species